AAGGAUUUAGCUUAAUUAAAGUUUUUGAUUUGCGUUCAAAUGAUGUAGAAAUAAAUCUGCAAUCCUUA
rnacentral:tRNA from 1 species